rnacentral:rRNA from 1 species
AUUGAACGCUGGCGGUAGGCCUAACACAUGCAAGUCGAACGCGAAAGUCCUUCGGGAUGAGUAGAGUGGCGGACGGGUGAGUAACGCGUAGGAAUCUAUCCUGUAGUGGGGGAUAACGUUUCGAAAGGAACGCUAAUACCGCAUACGCCCCACGGGGGAAAGCGGGGGAUCUUCGGACCUCGUGCUAUAGGAGGAGACUGCGUCGGAUUAGCUCGUUGGUGAGGGAAAGGCUCACCAAGGCGACGAUCCGAAGCUGGUCUGAGAGGAUGAUCAGCCACACCAGAACUGAGACACGGUACGGACUCCUACGGGAGGCAGCAGUGGGGAAUAUUGCACAAUGGGCGAAAGCCUGAUCCAGCCAUGCCGCGUGUGUGAAGAAGGCCUUCGGGUCGUAAAGCACUUUAAGUUGGGAGGAAGGGCUCAUAGCGAAUACCUGUGAGUUUUGACGUUACCAACAGAAUAAGCACCGGCUAACUUCGUGCCAGCAGCCGCAGUAAUAC